rnacentral:rRNA from 1 species
GGGUUGUGAGGUUAAGCGACUAAGCGUACACGGUGGAUGCCCUGGCAGUCAGAGGCGAUGAAGGACGUGCUAAUCUGCGAUAAGCGCCGGUAAGGUGAUAUGAACCGUUAUAACCGGCGAUUUCCGAAUGGGGAAACCCAGUGUGACUCGUCACACUAUCAUUAACUGAAUCCAUAGGUUAAUGAGGCGAACCGGGGGAACUGAAACAUCUAAGUACCCCGAGGAAAAGAAAUCAACCGAGAUUCCCCCAGUAGCGGCGAGCGAACGGGGAGGAGCCCAGAGCCUGAAUCAGCAUGUGUGUUAGUGGAAGCGUCUGGAAAGGCGCGCGAUACAGGGUGACAGCCCCGUACACAAAAGCGCAUGUGCUGUGAGCUCGAUGAGUAGGGCGGGACACGUGGUAUCCUGUCUGAAUAUGGGGGGACCAUCCUCCAAGGCUAAAUACUCCUGACUGACCGAUAGUGAACCAGUACCGUGAGGGAAAGGCGAAAAGAACCCCGGCGAGGGGAGUGAAAAAGAACCUGAAACCGUGUACGUACAAGCAGUGGGAGCACCCUUCGGGGUGUGACUGCGUACCUUUUGUAUAAUGGGUCAGCGACUUAUAUUCUGUAGCAAGGUUAACCGUAUAGGGGAGCCGGAGGGAAACCGAGUCUUAAUUGGGCGUUAAGUUGCAGGGUAUAGACCCGAAACCCGGUGAU